UACGUAGGGUGCAAGCGUUGUCCGGAAUUAUUGGGCGUAAAGAGCUCGUAGGCGGUCUGUCACGUCGGCUGUGAAAACCCGGGGCUCAACCCCGGGCCUGCAGUCGAUACGGGCAGACUAGAGUGCGGUAGGGGAGACUGGAAUUCCUGGUGUAGCGGUGAAAUGCGCAGAUAUCAGGAGGAACACCGGUGGCGAAGGCGGGUCUCUGGGCCGUAACUGACGCUGAGGAGCGAAAGCAUGGGUAGCGAACAGG
rnacentral:rRNA from 1 species